GGGCGAGUUUCAGAUUCGAUUGCGGGUGGAGAAUGAGAAAAGCAUACCAAAGGCUCGUCUUUGUAAAAACGGAACUUAAAUUUAAACGCAGAAUCUAACGAUUCCAAAGUCGUAGCUUUCCCCCGCAGGGCGGCAAGCUUGGCUUGCGCAGCUUAAAGUUUCAGCUGUCCGUCGUCCGUCUUAAACCGUUGAAGGCGGAACGGCGUUAAUUAAACGGUAAACUCACGAGGCGUUUUACCGUGCGCGUGCGUGGAGUAUUUAGCGGUAUGCCUUUGCAUUUUGCCCGUUCAUCGGCGGAUGCAAAGAAAGCUUAAAGGUGAACUAAGUAUGUAGAAAGCUCAAACUAAACCCGUAAGACUCGGGUGCAAGUCCCGACUCGUCCACCA
rnacentral:tmRNA from 1 species